GACGAACGCUGGCGGCGUGCUUAACACAUGCAAGUCGAACGGAAAGGCCCUGCUUUUGUGGGGUGCUCGAGUGGCGAACGGGUGAGUAACACGUGAGUAACCUGCCCUUGACUUUGGGAUAACUUCAGGAAACUGGGGCUAAUACCGGAUAGGAGCUCCUGCUGCAUGGUGGGGGUUGGAAAGUUUCGGCGGUUGAGGAUGGACUCGCGGCUUAUCAGCUUGUUGGUGGGGUAGUGGCUUACCAAGGCUUUGACGGGUAGCCGGCCUGAGAGGGUGACCGGCCACAUUGGGACUGAGAUACGGCCCAGACUCCUACGGGAGGCAGAAGUGGGGAAUAUUGCACAAUGGGCGGAAGCCUGAUGCAGCAACGCCGCGUGCGAGAUGACGGCCUUCGGGUUGUAAACCGCUUUCGCCUGUGACGAAGCGUGAGUGACGGUAAUGGGUAAAGAAGCACCGGCUAACUACGUG
rnacentral:rRNA from 1 species